AUGUGGGGCUCAGGCAAGUUCAUGCGACAUCCCUUGUCUGAGUUCACUGUGCAGUUGGGCCCCACCCUGGACAUGUGGGUUCCCUCUAGCUUCAAUGACAUCGGCCAGGACUAGUGGUUGUGGCAUUUUUUCAGGUAGGUGUGGUACGAAGGGGAGGUGACCCUGCCAGAGCAAUGGACCCAGGAUCUGUGCACGAGUGGUGCUGAGGAUUGGCACUGCCCACUCCUAUGCCAUCGUGUGGGUGAAUAGGAUCGACUCGCUAGAGCAUGAGGGGCUGACAUCAGCAGCCCUGUCGAGGUUGGGCCCCUGCCCUCCUGCCUCUGCAUCACUAUUGCCAUCAACAACAUCCUCACGCCCUCCACCCUGCCACCAGGGACCAUCCGCUACAUGACCAGCACCUCCAAGUAUCCCAAGGGUUACUUUGUCCAGAAAACAGACUUCGACUUCUUCAACUACGCGGGACUGCAGCGGUUGGUGCUUCUGUACAUGACACCCACCACCUACAUCGAUGACAUCACCAUCACCACCGGCGUGGAGCACAACAGUGGGCCAGUGAAUGACCAGAUCUCCGUCAAGUGCAGUAAACAGUUCGAGUUGGAAGUGCGUCUUUUGGAUGCAGAAAACAAAGUCAUGGUCAAUGAAGCGAGGACCCAGGGCCAGCUGAAGGUGCCAGUUGCCAGCCUCUUGUGGCCGUACUUGAUGCACGAAUGCUCGACCUAUCUAUACUCGUUGGAGGUGCGGCUGACUGCACAGACGUCACUGGGGCCUGUGUCUGACUUCUACACACUCCCUGUGGAGAUCUGCACUGUGGCUGUUAUUGAGAGCCAGUUCCUCAUCAAUGGGAAACCUUUCUAUUUCCACAGCAUCAACAAGCACGAGGAUGCAGACCUGCAUUUGUGCCCCUGGAUCCGAGGGAAGGGCUUCGACUGGCCACUGCUGGUGAAAGACUUCAGCCUGCUUCUCUGGCUUGGUGCCAACACCUUCCACACCAGCCACUACCCCUAGGUGGAGGAAGUGCUGCAGAUAUGUGACUGCUAUGGGAUUGUGGUCAUCAAUGAGUAGUGUCCCACCGUGGGCCUGGUGCUGCCAUGACUCUUCAAUUGUGUCUAUGCAUCAACACACGUGGCUGAUGGAGGAACUGGUGUGCAGGGACAAGAACCACCAUGCUGUGGUGAAGUGGUCUAUGGCCAACGAGCCUGCAUCCUACCUGGAAUCUGCCGGCUACUACUUCCAGUGA